rnacentral:rRNA from 1 species
GACGUAGGGCGCGAGCGUUGUCCGGAUUUAUUGGGCGUAAAGAGCUCGUAGGCGGCUUGUCGCGUCUGCUGUGAAAGACCGGGGCUCAACUCCGGUUCUGCAGUGGGUACGGGCAGACUAGAGUGAUGUAGGGGAGACUGGAAUUCCUGGUGUAGCGGUGAAAUGCGCAGAUAUCAGGAGGAACACCGAUGGCGAAGGCAGGUCUCUGGGCAUUAACUGACGCUGAGGAGCGAAAGCGUGGGGAGCGAACAGG